GAUGAAGAACGUAGCGAAAUGCGAUAAGUAGUGUGAAUUGCAGAAUUCAGUGAAUCAUCGAAUCUUUGAACGCACAUUGCGCCCCUUGGUAUCCCGAGGGGCAUGCCUGUUCGAGCGUCAUUUCACCACUCAAGCCUGGCUUGGUGUUGGGCGACGUCCUCUUUGGGGACGCGCCUCGAAACGCUCGGCGGCGUGGCACCGGCUUUAAGCGUAGCAGAAUCUUUCGCUUUGGAAGUCGGGGCCCCGUCUGCCGGAAGACCUGCUCGCAAGGUUGACCUCGGAUCAGGCAGGGAUACCUGCUGAACUUAAGCAUAUCAAUAAGCGGAGGA
rnacentral:misc_RNA from 1 species